rnacentral:rRNA from 1 species
UACGAAGGGGGCUAGCGUUGCUCGGAAUCACUGGGCGUAAAGGGUGCGUAGGCGGGUUUUUAAGUCGGUGGUGAAAUCCUGGAGCUCAACUCCAGAACUGCCUUCGAUACUGAGAGUCUCGAGUCCGAGAGAGGUGAGUGGAACUGCGAGUGUAGAGGUGAAAUUCGUAGAUAUUCGCAAGAACACCAGUGGCGAAGGCGGCUCACUGGCUCGGUACUGACGCUGAGGUGCGAAAGCGUGGGGAGCAAACAGG